GAUGAAGAACGUAGCAAAAUGCGAUAAGUAAUGUAAAUUGCAGAAUUCAGUGAAUCAUCGAAUCUUUGAACGCACAUUGCGCCCGCUGGUAUUCCGGCGGGCAUGCCUGUUCGAGCGUCAUUUCAACCCUCAAGCCCCCGGGUUUGGUGUUGGGGAUCGGCUCUGCCCUUCUGGGCGGUGCCGCCCCCGAAAUACAUUGGCGGUCUCGCUGCAGCCUCCAUUGCGUAGUAGCUAACACCUCGCAACUGGAACGCGGCGCGGCCAUGCCGUAAAACCCCAACUUCUGAAUGUUGACCUCGGAUCAGGUAGGAAUACCCGCUGAACUUAAGCAUAUCAAUAAGCGGAGGA
rnacentral:misc_RNA from 1 species